GGUUUGUUUUGGACGGAUUUAUGUUUGAUCUAGAUUUUAAAAAAGUAAUUUUUUACAAAAUUAAUUUUUGUUAAAAACUGUAGAGCGUUUAACUGAGUCUAGCAAGAACAUAAAUUUUUUGACGUGAAUUCCAAAAUUAUUUGGCAAAAUAUUUUAUUGUUUGUGUAAUGUUUCGAAAACUUAGCUGUAAUGAUGACUAUAGUAUCAGUAGCUGGUCGAUGCAGCUAUAAAAUGUUGGGUUGAGCCGGAAUCGUUUUGGCGCCAAAUUGACACAAAAAUAGAUUUAGCUUAGAGGUAUAGAGAUGAAAAGAUCAAGUGUAUUAUGUAAUUAUAAAUAAAGUUGUAAUAACUUAGAUUGUAUUUGAAAGCAAAAUGUAUUAUGUAGUUGAGUUGUAAAAGUUGAAUAUAAGCCGGUGAAUGCUUGUAAUAGUUUAGCUGGUUAUGUUUUUGAUACUGGCUUAUGCAAUCUGUAUGUUGAUUAUUGUUCCUGAUUGGAACCUUCGUCUUGUAUUGAUUACGACGCCUAGGACGUACAGAAAAAACUCUGUCCGUUCGGCGCUGUCGGCGGCGCUGUCGGCGGCGCCGCAACCUCGGCCAAAUAGGCGGGUGUG
rnacentral:lncRNA from 1 species